CCCUUAGAUGUCCUGGGCCGCACGCGCGCUACACUGACAUGUUCAACAAGCCUCCUAGUUCGACAGGAUUUGGGAAAUCUUUGAACGCAUGUCGUGAUAGGGAUAGAUCAUUGCAAUUAUUGAUCUUGAACGAGGAAUUCCUAGUAAACGCGAGUCAUCAGCUCGCAUUGAUUACGUCCCUGCCCUUUGUACACACCGCCCGUCGCACCUACCGAUUGAAUGUUUCGGUGAAGAUUCCGGAUAGGACUUUUUUGUUUUAUUUCAAUUCUGUCUUAAAAGCUAUCUAAACCUCAACAUUUAGAGGAAGGUGAAGUCGUAACA
rnacentral:rRNA from 1 species